rnacentral:rRNA from 1 species
AUUGAACGCUGGCGGCAUGCCUUACACAUGCAAGUCGAACGGUAACAGGUCUUCGGAUGCUGACGAGUGGCGAACGGGUGAGUAAUACAUCGGAACGUGCCCGAGAGUGGGGGAUAACGAAGCGAAAGCUUUGCUAAUACCGCAUACGAUCUCAGGACGAAAGCAGGGGACCGCAAGGCCUUGCGCUCACGGAGCGGCCGAUGGCAGAUUAGGUAGUUGGUGGGGUAAAGGCCUACCAAGCCGACGAUCUGUAGCUGGUCUGAGAGGACGACCAGCCACACUGGGACUGAGACACGGCCCAGACUCCUACGGGAGGCAGCAGUGGGGAAUUUUGGACAAUGGGCGCAAGCCUGAUCCAGCCAUUCCGCGUGCAGGAUGAAGGCCCUCGGGUUGUAAACUGCUUUUGCACAGAACGAAAAGGCUCUGGUUAAUACCUGGGGCUCAUGACGGUACUGUAAGAAUAAGCACCGGCUAACUACGUGCCAGCCGCCGCCGUAAAAC